AAAGUUUUAAUGAGGAAACAUUAAAACACAUUACAAGCUCUAAAUGGUUAUGACAUCCAAGGGGGAGUGUUAUGAACCAGAUUGUGGAUGGCUCAUAACCAAGAGAUUAUGAUUUGUAAUUUUUCCAUUUAUCUAUGACGGUGUAAUCUUCUAUAUAAGAAACCCCUAUGUUAUUAAUUAAGAUAGACUUUUCCAUUACUUUUAUAACAAAUGAUUACAUUUUUUUUUUGUUUAUUUGGAUGUUUGUGCUAUGUAUCUACUUUUCUUGAUAAUAGAUAUAAUUUGACUCCACAUGCUGUCAAUGUGUGUUUCUUGGUUACAGUUAGGAUUUCAAAGGUUAUAAGGUUCUCCAUCUUGACACUUGCAACAUUGUUUAUCAUGAAAUUAUCUUUUCUUUUGCCACUAAGAAACCGAGUUCUUUAGAUUUCAUGGACAUAUUUAAAAAAACCAUAUUACAAAAAUGUAUACUCAUCUGGUUUCAGAUUUUACUGUCUCUGACAAUGCACAUGCAUUUCCAUCUGAUAACAGUCCUAUCUCUAAUGUCCCACCUACAUCACAUGAGGCUGUUACAACAAGUACAAGACACAGUUGCUUGAUCAUUGCCAGACCAAUACGGAAUGCUAAAGCACCAGGUUACAAGCCUUACUAUCAUUUCUCUUUGCUAUUUCUCCUUCCAUUUCGAAUCCUUUAUAUCUAAUUUCUUAUGUUCAUACACUUCCGCAUUUUUCUCCAUUUUAUCAGUCACACAGUUUCUCUUAUUCUCUUGACACUGAGCAUACUACUUUCAAGCAAGCCAUGUUAUCACUUCAGUUUAAGAAAACUACGAAUGAUGAACUUCAGACUAUGGAUGAGAUAAUCAAAUGAGUAAGAAAUAUAGAAAUCUUUAUAUAUAAAAGAAGCUUUGCUUCUCUCCUAGGUAUGCCAACAAGGACGCCAAAUAAGAAAUUCGUUGAACGACAGCUUGACACGUGUCCAAGGGGAACAAAGCUCAGUGUUUCAUUUAAUUGUGAAACACUUUCUUUGUGGGCUACGUAAUGUUUAUGUUUGGGACUGAAGUGAAAGUUAUUGGGCUCCGCAUCAGUCAGCGUCAUCCUUUCUUCCUCCUCUUGAAUCCUCAGCGGAAACUUCUCUAUUCUAAGUUCUGCUUCUGUUCAUCUUCCAAACGAAAAAAAUCUAGAAACGUUACGGAGUUAGGCUGAGUUGAAGCGUCAUCUUCAAUGCAUUCACUAGCCGUUGGUCUCUACUCCUCACACGAUCUACCUUUAAAAGCACCCACCUCCCUUUACUUUCUUUUUCAGAAUCUUCCACUAUAAAAAGGUGUGCUUUAUCCCGUGAAAUUCAUCAAUCUAAUAGUCUCAAUCUUGAGCUUCCUAAAACAAUAGCCAGGUCUAUCUUUAUCCUUUCCACAUCACAAUUAUAUGUCCGUCAAUGUUUCCUAAAGCUCUAGAUCUAUCGUCGUGACCUCUCCUAUUGUUUUCUUCAACGACGUCUUUUCAGGAGUAAGCGAAGAGAAGAUGAGAAAUCAUCUCUUUCCAAAGGUCAUCAAUGUUGGUAUGAUUUCAGCCUCGAAGAACAAAGAUUUAUCAUCUUCCUUUGAUUUUUCUUUUCUUCUACUCUCAGUGAUUUCCAUACCUCCUCAUUUGUUAAGCAAAUUUAUGAUUUUUCGUAGCCCAUUAUUGGCCUUUUAUAUGCAUGAUCAAUCUGGACUAAUGGGUUUACUGGUAAGCUAUCUUACCUUCCCUUUUAUUUUCAGUGUAAAGGAAUAAAGCUGAACUUGUUGAUUCAGAGUUAAACAUGUAUAUGUGUGUGAAAUUUUGAUUUGAUGGUCUGGGAGGUGAUUGGGGAUAUCAGCUUUCUCAGAAGAAGACAACAUAUUCUGAAGGUGCUGAUUACAGAGUUAAGGAAGACAAAUAUAUUCUCACUCGCUUUCUCCAACGAUUGUCUUUUCUAAACCCCCAAAAUCAUGAAUUUUUGCUUCCAUCCCAGUGUGGAUGUCUAUGACAAUAUUUGUUUCGAUAUUCUUCAGGUAUAAAACAAUCAUUUUGCUUCUACUACUACUUGUGUUUAACUGGUUAAUCUCAAGCUACCAUAUAUCAAAUAAGCUAUAUAACUUUAAAGGAAACAGAAAAAAUGUUUUACAUUUUUUGUAGGAUAAAUGGUCAUCCGUUUGAUGCAGAAAUGUUCUACUUGAGGCAUGUAUGCACAAAGUGACAGAAGAGUCAGCAAAACGUGGAGCCGUUUGGUCUGAAAAGUGGCCAGAGUAGAGAUUGUUCAUCUAAGGAAGACACAUAUGGAAAUCAGCACAAGAGGAUUUCACAGCAGACAUGUACGUUGAAAAACUAUUGUUUCAGAGUCAUACCUCAAGGGUGUAGGAAUUGAUUGGUGGUAUGUGAGAAACGUUAUUGAUUGAGAGCGAGAGCUGUAUAUGGAGGUUUUAUUGCUGCAUUGAAGGAUCUGAGACUCUGUGUGAUUAAUGUACUUUCCUCAAACUUACGACCUUCAUGAUGAUUCAUGUAUUCUCUGCACUGAAGAAGAGGUGCAGCUUGGUGUCUGUAAUGGCUGAAGUGGACCGAAUUCUUAUAUCACAAGGAACAUUUAUAGUAAGUGAUGACAUGGAAAAGAUAGGAGAAAUUGAGAAGAUGGUGGAAUCACUGAAAUGGAAUGUAAUAAUGACACAUUCCAGAUAUGAAAAAGGAGUGAUCUCUGUUCAGAAGUCAUGGUGGAGUCCUACAGAGGUCGAGACCAUUACAUCGGCGAUAGCAAGUGAAAGAGAAUUGGUUUAAUAUAUAUAGUUUUAUGAGAAUGUUUCUUUUAUGAUCACGUUGAUUGUUUACAUUGUAUUAGGCUAAUAUGUGUAUCCUUUUUUGCAUUGACGAAGAUUGUAUACAAGACAUUGUCCCUAUAAUGUAAGCUUUUAUAAGUUUUUUAUUCGGUCCUAAACAGCCGUGGAAUAUUUACUACUGCAGCAAACUUAUAUAGACUUUCUAUUUGAACUAUAGGUAUGAUGAGCUCAUGUUAAUUACAUCACCAAAGAACUCUUAAUAGAAAAAUAAACUAGAGCAAAAAGAAUUAUUAAAUUAAAAAAAAAUUGUAACAAAUUUAAAAUAUAACUUAUUAAAUUCAAUAACAAAAUAUAGUAAAAUUGUUACUAUAAGAAAUAACUUAUAAAAUAAAGUCAAUGUAAAUUCUCAUACCGAAAAUUAAUCAAUAAAUCUUAUAUUAAAAAUUAUAAUUAGUUAUUCAGAUAACAUGGUUUUGUUUGGUGUCCAAAUAUAAUAGCAUAUACAAAAUUCAAAUAAAUAUCUAUAUUUUUAAGUAGUAACAAUUGAUAUUAGGUUUUUAUGCUAUCGAUGAAUUACCUACUUUUCUUUUAGUUACUGUAAAAGAAAAUAGGUAAUUCUUGGCGGUUAAACUCAAUCUCCAUGUUAUACUAAUUAUGUAUAUAUAUAUAUAUAUAUAUAAACAUAAUAGAUAUAGACACGUUUUCAUCGAUAAUCACAACUAUUAUAUUAGAAAAUUUAGUCACCUAACGAAACUAAAUUUGUGUCUUUACAGUAAACGUGUUCAACAAAAAAAUGAUAAAAAUUUAAAAAGAAAUUAUAAAAUAACAUUCCAUACAUUAAUUAGAAUAAAAUAAUUUAAACUAAAAAAAUGUUAAGCAAAAUAUAAUAGAGAAACUUCUCGCGCGUGGAAUAUGAUGAGUCCAUGUAAAUAUUACAUAACCAUUAUAAAAAUAGGAGAUCUCCAUUAUAGAAAUGUACUAUUUGUAUUGAUAAUUGAUAGAAUUAGAGAGAUGGAGAUGCUCUUAACAGGAAACAAUUUGGUUUUGGUUCGUACUCAAUUAUAUGUUCGCUUCAGUUUCAAAUGUAUUUUGUUAAGAAAUUGUACAAUCAGUGAUGUUCUUGCUUUAGUCGAUAAUGUUUGGCAAUAACAAUAUUUAACUGAUAACAUGGAGAUUCAUUAUAUCGACACAAAAUAAUGAAAAAAUAAAUAAUAUAUAUAGUAGAAAGUCUAUAAAUUAAUACUCGGCAAAUGAAUAGACACAAUAAUUAAUAAAUUUUACUGAUCUUGAAUUGGACAUAUGUAAAAUAUAACUUAAUUCGAUAAAAUAGUAAUAACAUAACUUUUGUAUAAACAUAAACAAAUCAUCUUUUAAAAAAUGAAUUCAUCUUUCUUUCUUUUUUAAAAUUUCACUACUCUGAUGUUUUCAUUGAACUACAAAUAAAUGAUAUUUAUAUACUAUCAUCAAAU